rnacentral:rRNA from 1 species
GAUGAACGCUGGCGGCGUGCCUAAUACAUGCAAGUCGAGCGAACAGACGAGGAGCUUGCUCCUCUGACGUUAGCGGCGGACGGGUGAGUAACACGUGGAUAACCUACCUAUAAGACUGGGAUAACUUCGGGAAACCGGAGCUAAUACCGGAUAAUAUAUUGAACCGCAUGGUUCAAUAGUGAAAGACGGUUUUGCUGUCACUUAUAGAUGGAUCCGCGCCGCAUUAGCUAGUUGGUAAGGUAACGGCUUACCAAGGCGACGAUGCGUAGCCGACCUGAGAGGGUGAUCGGCCACACUGGAACUGAGAUACGGCCCAGACUCCUACGGGAGGCAGCAGUGGGGAAUAUUGCACAAUGGGCGGAAGCCUGAUGCAGCAACGCCGCGUGCGGGAUGACGGCCUUCGGGUUGUAAACCGCUUUCGCCUGUGACGAAGCGUGAGUGACGGUAAUGGGUAAAGAAGCACCGGCUAACUACGUG